GCUGUUCAGUUGACUUGUCUAGCUGAAAUAACUCAGACACAUCUGAGAACCUCUUUCAUUUCACUUGUUUUUCAGGACAGGUGUGAGCUGUGGAGGAAAUGGAACCAUUUGUGAAAUCAUGACAUCUGAUAGAAACAUCCAGCCUUCCUCUUGGUUUACUACCUGGGUAAAAAAUUUGUUUAUAUGAAAUGCUGGAUUGCUUUGUGAACUACUUCAGCAGGCCAAGCCAAGCUGGUCUUCCAGCACAACGAAUUUAUGUCCUUACAGUGGCUUCCUGCCAGCAUCCUCUCUAUUGAACUGUAUUUACAUUAGCACUGUAAAACAUUACUUCAUUCAAGUGUCUGAAGUGAAGCACUCACUCCUUCCAUGCACUUAGUUCCUGAUUGUUGCCAGCUGGUGAGAAGUUAGCAGAUUGCUUUUCCCAGCUGGCCCCUGCAAUUCCUCCUAUAAUGAGAAUUAAAGAUAGUGGAUCACUGAGGUUAUUUAAGCUUUAGUUGCCUUUAGGUGGGGGUAAGUGCAAAAUAUUAGAUGCUUCUUUCAACUUAGGUUGAAAGAUGAAUCCUUCUGUUAGCUUCAGCAGACAUUGCCUUGGGUAUCAGUUCUUGAUGUCCUUGAGUCUACAUAGUGGGUCAUGGCUGGUCAGCAAUGAGGGAACAUUAAAGACUCUGGAAGUGCAUUUUGGCUCUGUCAAAGAAUGGUGAGGCCAAAGCAGGAGGAGAACCUGAAACACACCUUCCUUCCCCUGACACCCACAGAAGAAGCACUGAGAAGUCUUCUACGAGGUGAAGAGCUGAGGGGACAGAAGGCUUCUUAUAAAGGCUGCUGGAGAUAGAAGAAAUGAGAGAAAGAAUGAAACAUUCUCCAGUGCUACAUAGCUUCAGAAUAUCCUCUAGAAAAGGAGCAAGCUCUAGAAGUGACUGCACUCUCUAUGGUAAGUGUAUACCUUCUACUGUUUAUCUGUUUAAUCCAUGGCCUCCAGUGUAAGUAAAAUGCACCAGAUUAUCACUCCAGUUAUUACCAACAAUGAAGUUAGAUCUGGGAACUGAUCUUCUGCCCUCAAUUUC
rnacentral:lncRNA from 1 species